rnacentral:rRNA from 1 species
AGUGCAUGUGGUGGAUGCCUUGGCGAUUACAGGCGACGAAGGACGUACAAGCCUGCGAAAAGCUCUGGGGAGCUGGCAAUGAAGCUUUGAUCCAGAGAUAUCCGAAUGGGGAAACCCACUCCGCAAGGAGUAUCCCACGCUGAAUACAUAGGCGUGCGGAAGCGAACCCGGCGAACUGAAACAUCUAAGUAGCCGGAGGAAAAGAAAUCAACCGAGAUUCCCAAAGUAGUGGCGAGCGAAAUGGGAGCAGCCUGCAAGUGAUAGCGAUUGAGUUAGCGGAAGUCUCUGGAAAGUGGCGCCGUAGUGGGUGAAAGCCCCGUACGCGAAAACCCGAUCGUGGUACUAAGUUUGCGACAAGUAGGGCGGGGCACGAGAAAUCCUGUCUGAACAUGGGGGGCCCAUCCUCCAAGGCUAAAUACUCGUAAUCGACCGAUAGUGCACCAGUACCGUGAGGGGAAAGGCGAAAAGAACCCCGGAGGGGAGUGAAAUAGAUCCUGAAACCGCAUGCAUACAAACAGU